AUUGAACGCUGGCGGCAGGCCUAACACAUGCAAGUCGAGCGGCAGCGGGAAAGUAGCUUGCUACUUUUGCCGGCGAGCGGCGGACGGGUGAGUAAUGCCUGGGAAAUUGCCCAGUCGAGGGGGAUAACAGCUGGAAACGACUGCUAAUACCGCAUACGCCCUACGGGGGAAAGCAGGGGACCUUCGGGCCUUGCGCGAUUGGAUAUGCCCAGGUGGGAUUAGCUAGUUGGUGAGGUAAUGGCUCACCAAGGCGACGAUCCCUAGCUGGUCUGAGAGGAUGAUCAGCCACACUGUAACUGAGACACGGUCCAGACUCCUACGGGAGGCAGCAGUGGGGAAUAAUGCACAAUGGGGGAAACCCUGAUGCAGCCAUGCCGCGUGUGUGAAGAAGGCCUUCGGGUUGUAAAGCGCUUUCAGCGAGGAGGAAAGGUUGAUGCCUAAUACGCAUCAACUGUGACGUUACUCGCAGAAGAAGCACCGGCUAACUCCGUGCCAGCCGCCGCAGUAA
rnacentral:rRNA from 1 species